GUCUAUGGCCAUGCUACCCCGAACAAGCCCAAUUCCGUCUAAUCUUGGAAGCUAAGCAGUGUCGGGCCUGGUUAGUACGUGGAUGGGAGACCACCUUGGAAGACCAGGUACUGUAGGUG
rnacentral:rRNA from 1 species